GUGUCCUUUAGCACAAAGGAGACAGGAACCUAAGUCUGUCAGACAACCGUGGGACCACCCCAGUCAGGAAUUCUAACUGAGAACGAUCCUCUACAGCCAAGGACAACUCCAAAGAACUGCCCCAACCGCUAAUCACGCUCUGAUUCCACGGUCGCAAUUCAUCAACCAGAUUUAAGUUCCUGUCUCCUUUGUGCUAAAGGACAC
rnacentral:snoRNA from 1 species